UACGUAGGCAGCAAGCGUUGUUCGGAGUUACUGGGCGUAAAGGGUGUGUAGGCGGUUCUUUAAGUUUGGUGGGAAAUCUCCCGGCUCAACUGGGAGGGUGCGCCGAAUACUGAGGGACUAGAGUACGGGAGAGGAAAGUGGAAUUCCUGGUGUAGCGGUGAAAUGCGUAGAUAUCAGGAGGAACACCGGGGGUGUAGACGGCUUUCUGGACCGACACUGACGCUGAGACACGAAAGCGUGGGUAGCAAACAGG
rnacentral:rRNA from 1 species